UACGUAGGGACCAAGCGUUGUUCGGAUUUACUGGGCGUAAAGGGCGCGUAGGCGGCAAUUCAAGUCAGUUGUGAAAUCUCCGAGCUUAACUCGGAACGGUCAACUGAUACUGUUUUGCUAGAGUACAGAAGGGGCAAUCGGAAUUCUUGGUGUAGCGGUGAAAUGCGUAGAUAUCAAGAGGAACACCUGAGGUGAAGACGGGUUGCUGGGCUGAUACUGACGCUGAGGCGCGAAAGCUAGGGGGAGCAAACAGG
rnacentral:rRNA from 1 species